rnacentral:rRNA from 1 species
GACAGCAGCCGCCACGGGAAUACGUAGGUGGCAAGCGUUGUCCGGAAUUAUUGGGCGUAAAGGGCUCGCAGGCGGUUUCUUAAGUCUGAUGUGAAUGCCCCCGGUUCAACCGGGGAGGGUCAUUGGAAACUGGGAAACUUGAGUGCAGAAGAGGAGAGUGGAAUUCCACGUGUAGCGGUGAAAUGCGUAGAGAUGUGGAGGAACACCAGUGGCGAAGGCGACUCUCUGGUCUGUAACUGACGCUGAGGAGCGAAAGCGUGGGGAGCGAACAGGAUUAGAUACCCCCGUAGUCCCUGUCUCUUAUAC